CCGUCACCCCCCGCCGGGAACCCCCGCCCCGGGCUGCGCUCCCCGCUCCCGGGGAGCUGCUGCUCACCGCAGGCGGCUGCGGGUGGGAUCACGGGACACCCCAGUCCCUGCUGGGAGCUGCCCAUCCCGAGUGCCCCGGCCCGUGUCCCACACGCAGGCUGCUGCCGGGGGGUGCUGGGCGCUGCCUCGCUCCUGCCUGCCCCCCCCCAAAACGGCCCGGCGGGAAGGAGGGAUGCUCCUGCCGUGGUCCCACACCAUGGCGAAGGGCUCUCCUCCUGCAGCCCCAACGUGCCAUUCUUAAGCGGCCACGGAGAAGGGCACAGCCGGCCGAUGGGAUUUGGCCGGGUCCUCUGUGUGCUUGGACAUCCCUCUGCCUGUCCAGCCUUGCUGCUGGGUACGUGAUCCCAGCCUGUGCUGCAAGCCCCGCUCCCCAUUCCAGCCCAGCGAGGCACCUGCUUUUCUGGCCAAACCAGACUUCAGCAGCCAGGUCGGGAGUCUGGGUGUGAUGAUCAGAGCCUUCCCAGCCCCGGAGAGGUGCUUGCUGCCGAGGAGCUGCUUACUUUGGCCUCAACUGAGAGGCCUCAGCCCAGGGUAAAGAAGCCCCAAACACUGCCCUGUCUGUGCUUCGGGAAGGGGCGUUUGUGGCUGUCCUGUCACGGUGGGAGCAGGCGAAAGAGCUGAAGGUUGUUUUCACCCCAGUGCCUGCCACAGGGGAUUCUCCAAACAGGAUCCCACCUCAUCCAGAUACGUGCAGAGCAGCAGGUAACCCCCACACUCCUGGUGUGCCUUUCGGGAGGGCCUCAGACUGAGCCACAGCACAGUGACAUCUAAAAUGUGCCACCUCCCAGCCCCAAAUCCCUGUACUUCCUCCACAGGGUAGGAGAAGCUGCUCACCCUGUGCAGGUACUCCAUGCUGAGGGGUGAUGCCAGCAGCUUCCAGGACAGGAUGGAGCUGGAGUAAGUUUUAGCUGCCCUACCUAAAAGCCCUUAGCCCCAUCCUUUGCACAGAGCUGUGCGUGCCUCCAUAUGCACAAGUGGGUGCCCACAGGGACAGGGAGUUCUGCCAGCUCCUGUGAUUGCUGGCAUUGCCUUGAUGCCCAGGGCCUGGGAACUUGAGAUUUUAACAAAAUGUCCUUCUCCUAAAGUCAUGGAGUAAAGCUAGGACACACAAGGAAAUCUGGGAGGGCAGUAUGCCACUCCUGGUCCCCUGAGAAGUGCCACAGCCACCGCGGAGGAGGGACACCCAUGGGCACUGGCAGGGCAGUGCUGUGCUCUCGCUGGGAGUGGUGACAGCAGGUUUGGUGUGAUUUGGCCCUGGGGUCUUGUGCAUAUCCGUGAUGCUCUGGGGACCAGGAAGAGCAGGCUGGGCUGGGGCACAAGGCUGCUUCCAUGUGGUCGGGUCCAUCUGGAAACCCCAGUGGAAGGGGGAGAAAGAAUAUAGGUGAGGGGUACUCCUUGUGUCCCUUGAAGUCUUUGCUGUGGGCCACCAAAGUCCCCCUUGGAAUCAGGGAGGGGUGGGAGCCUCCUCUGGUUGGUGACUGGCAGCACCCCUGAGCCAUGCUGGGCGAUGCCAGCCAUGGUGGCAGCAAAGCAAAACCCUCCAGGAGCUGCCACAGCAGCAGCUGUAGUUCCCCAUGGGGUGCUCAGCCAUUGGAUAAGGGGAUCACCCUGGCACUGGCUCCGCACCCUUGGCAGUGCUGACCCAGUGCCAAGACCCCCAGGGUCCAGAGCCCACUUGGUGCCUGGGGGACCCAAAUGCGCUCUGAGGAGGAGCAGCUGCCACUGCUGUGCUGGCCCUGUGUCCCCUGGGAGGGGACAGUGUGUGCUCAGCCACGUGUGAACGCACCGCCCACGGUCCAAAGGGCAGCUGAGUCCUGCCCAGGUGGCCCAGACUUUGUCUGCAGAUGAAUGACUCCUCUGCCUGCAAAACAGGCAGGACCCACCACGGGACCUGCCACGUCACUGUCAGUCCCUGCUGGACAGAGGGGAACAUGUGCUGUGGAGUCAUUGCCCAGGUCAUCUCUUAGCCCUCCUGGGGCUAUGUGGCCAGUGGAGCUCUCUUGGCAGGGACAAGUAGUAGCUAAGGUCAAGGAUGCAAAAGCUGUUUGUGAGCGUCUUAAUUCCCCCUCUGGGUUCCGUGCCAAAACACCUCCCUCACCUCAUGAUUACGUGUUCUCAAGUGCCACUGGCCUCUGGAGAGGCUGUAAGAUGGUGAAUGCUUUGAGCCCCUGUGCUGAAAUGCAGGAAUGAGGAGCUGGAUGCCAUGGCACUACCAGCUUUGGGUAUGCUGAGGACUCGUUGGCUUGGCUGUCCCCUGCUGUUUGCAAAAGGACCCCACUGGGGAUUUGUUUAGUGUCUGCUGGGCUCUGAAUGUUUGAAUACACUGCUAAAGCUUUUUGGAAGGAAGGCUGGAAAAGGUGACAGGCUGGGACUGAAAUAGCUGGGACUGAUCUAGACCUCCACUGGAGAUAUUCGAAUAUCAAACUAUCCCGGGCACUGCGCCCCCACUGCCAGCUUGGGGCUGCCUCCAGGUGUGUCUGAUUCUCUGUGGGGUGGGACCAUCACUUGUGCCGCAGAAAUAGGCUUCAGAAUAACUAAACAGCACAGUCUGCUACAGGUUUGAGCUUGCCUGGGACUGUGAGGAUGCACAUGGAUCCUGCACCUCAUCCUGUCCCUCGGGUAGGGCUCUUCCCCUGUAUCCCUCCCAUGUCGCUCCACAGGGGUGACAUAGCACAGUUAUGGCUCUGGCUUCGUUUCUCUGCCAAGAGAUCCCCCAGCCUCCCCCUCUGACCCUGGAGCUGAACCCUCCCUCUGCAGGAAUGUUUUUCGGGGGGGAGGUUGGCACAAUUCCAGCUGCUGAGUUUUUCCAUGUCCAGAGACUGUCUCCUGCCUUAAAUGGCUCCAUGAUACAGGCUGUGUCUGCUCUCCUGCAAUCACCUAUUUAAGGAUUUUUUGGAUUCAGUCCCCAAUGCAAAGUGGGAUGAUACCAGCCCAGUGCCUUGCAGCUGAGCUGAGCUCCAUGGUGGGAUACUGGAGCAGAUGGGGCUGGUUGCCCUGGGGUACCCUGCAGGGGUGUGCCUGGACAUGGGCAGUCCAGUGCUGCUCCAGCUCUCCCAGGCCUCUUCUUUCCUUGUGUGCAGGUCAGAUUCCCUGGAUCAGGUCUGUGUUCUGGUCCCAGGGAAUCCUGGGCCACCAGCAGUGUGUGAGCCAGGAGGUGCAUCCCCUGUGCAGCGAUGUCCUUGCUGUGGGCAGCCCAUGACACCGAGGGAUGCUCCUGGGCCCCUCCGGCACAGCUCCCGCUCACGGCCUCACCACCCAGCCCCCUGAGCCCUCCUGUCCUCCACAGCAUCUUCCACCACCCAGGAAACCUUCUUGCAAGCUCAGGCUGGACAUUAUGGGAGCACUGGAAGCUCCUGGUGGGGAUGUCACUGGUAUCAGUAUCCAAGCUCCCUGUCCGAGGGCACAACCUGCCCUAUGGAGAGGAUCCUGCC